CCUACGGGGGGCUGCAGUGGGGAAUUUUGGACAAUGGGGGAAACCCUGAUCCAGCCAUGCCGCGUGCGGGAAGAAGGCCUUCGGGUUGUAAACCGCUUUUGGCAGGAACGAAACGGCGCGCGCCAACACCGCGCGCUAAUGACGGUACCUGCAGAAUAAGCACCGGCUAACUACGUGCCAGCAGCCGCGGUAAUACGUAGGGUGCGAGCGUUAAUCGGAAUUACUGGGCGUAAAGCGUACGCAGGCGGCUAUGCAAGACAGGUGUGAAAUCCCCGGGCCCAACCUGGGAACUGCACUUGUGACUGCAUGGCUAGAGUCCGUAAGAGGGGGGUGGAAUUCCACGUGUAGCAGUGAAAUGCGUAGAGAUGUGGAGGAACACCGAUGGCGAAGGCAGCCCCCUGGGAUGAGACUGACGCUCAUGUACGAAAGCGUGGGGAGCAAACAGGAUUAGAUACCCUAGUAGUCA
rnacentral:rRNA from 1 species